GACGAACGCUGGCGGCGUGCUUAACACAUGCAAGUCGAACGGAAAGGCCCUGCUUUUGUGGGGUGCUCGAGUGGCGAACGGGUGAGUAACACGUGAGUAACCUGCCCUUGACUUUGGGAUAACUUCAGGAAACUGGGGCUAAUACCGGAUAGGAGCUCCUGCUGCAUGGUGGGGGUUGGAAAGUUUCGGCGGUUGGGGAUGGACUCGCGGCUUAUCAGCUUGUUGGUGGGGUAGUGGCUUACCAAGGCUUUGACGGGUAGCCGGCCUGAGAGGGUGACCGGCCACAAUGGGACUGAGAGACGGACCAGACUCCAACGGGAGGCAGCAGGGGGGAAUAUUGCACAAUGGGCGGAAGCCUGAUGAAGAGACGCCGCGUGCGGGAUGACGGCCUUCGGGUUGUAAACCGCUUUCGCCUGUGACGAAGCGUGAGUGACGGUAAUGGGUAAAGAAGCACCGGCUAACUACGUG
rnacentral:rRNA from 1 species